AUCCAGCUGACAAGUCCUAAAUAGGACGAAGAGGGCGUCCUGGAU
rnacentral:hammerhead_ribozyme from 1 species